AGGGUCUGGGGAAAGGCUCCUGUGUUGUUGAACCUGCCUGGUGUGGGUGCAGCCUUGUACCAGGCAGCCCGACCCUGACGUAAAGCAAACUCCCAGGAGAAAUCUUUCCUGGGUUGUGAACUUGCAGUCACAGGCUGUGCUCAGAGUGGCAGGCCGCCCAGGGCUGCCCUGAAAACGGGA